GCCCAGAUGGCGGAAUUGGCAGACGCGCGGGACUCAAAAUUCCGUUCCUGCAAGGGAGUGCCGGUUCGACCCCGGCUCUGGGCA
rnacentral:tRNA from 1 species